UUUUUCCGUGCCUUCGAGGCAACCUGAUAACUCGAACAAACGAAGGGGUUUCGAGCCUUGGAGGCAACAUAUAUUUUUUUUUACCAAUAAAAAAACUCGAACUACAAAGCCUGGCAUUUUCCAUGAAGAUGAAUCUACUUCUCAAAUUUGCGAUUAUACAUGUUCAAAAAUGAUGGAGGAACGGCAACCCCAUAUAAGCCUUGGAGGCAACAUAUAUUUUUCCUGGCAUUUUCCAUGUAGAUGAAUCUACUUCCCAAACAACUAGUCUCUUAGGACGACCGGCGCCAGGUGGACCCGGUUGCUCGCAAUGGGAAUUACAGACUCAUACUACACAUGUUUAGUGUCAUGGGGUUGUUUCGAAUCCGAGUCGAUUAGCUCACCGGAAUUUGCCUACCACUACUGACCACCCAUGUGUGGUUAGAAAGGCCUUUUUCGGUUUGAUGGUAUAAUGGAACCGUGACAAUUUUUCAGGGAAGUAUAAGAGAAUGGUUAACAUGUUAUCGGGAAACACAUUACAACUAUGACAUGAAAAGCAGCGUACCAAACCAUAAGAAUAACAGCGAUAUUGAUCUCUCAUCUUCAGUGGUGAUCACGACAUGCUUGUCCCUUUCCUUGCAACUCAAGACUGGAUAAGAUCACUAAACUAUUCCAUUAUUGACCACUGGAGGCCAUGGUUGGUUCACAAUCAAGUCGCUGGGUAUUAUAGUACUAUUUUUUUUUCUUCAUCACAGAAACAUAUAUGUGAAGAUCAUCAAUUUGUUCUCGUUGCAAAACACAAAAACUUAUGCCAAUAAGAUGACAUUUGCCACUGUGAAAGCUAGUCUACGUUUUUCUUAUUACCUAAAUGAAAAAUUUAUAGUUGGGAGAGUUUCUCAUUUUUUGUAGGUUUGGUUUAUAGGGCGGCGGGCACACGAUAGAGUAUAAACCAGAUGAGAACUCCGUUAUGUUCGAGAGAUGGGUUAGUGGCCAAACCUCUUUAACAGCAGUGAUUUGAUAACAAUAAAAAACACUGCAAAAUCUUGAUAUGGUGAUGUAAUGUAUCUUUGUAACUGAGCCCAUAUUAUCAAGAUGUAUAAGAGAGGUUGAGCCUCCAACGUUAAUAAACAAGAAAACCUUUAUAGAAGUGUAGGUUUCUUAA